GGGAGGCGGCUGCGCAAGCCGCACCCCCAUUUCCACUCCGGGGUGGCGGGGCGCGCGCGCGCGGUCACCCCCGGGGCAGUCGCUUGCUCGCGCUGGCUGCGUCUGCGGAAGUUGCGGUGGGGCGUCUGCACGCCCGGGGGCACUUCACCUGACUGGGGGCCCCCGCGAGCCCCCUCCCGUUGAGAAGCAAUUCAGAAAACUUCCAGCCUAAGAGUAAACUUGCUGCCGAGGGCGACGCCCUACGUCCUGAGUCCUGGCGGAGGGGCCACGGGGCUCUGUGCGACGGGUGACAAAAACAUGCCUGCCGACACCAGCCGUUCUUGGAAAUGUGUCGUGGCUGUUUACGAAAUAGCUUUAUUGAGACAUAAUUUCCGCACCGUAAAAUUCACCCGUUUUACGUGUACACUUCACAGGUAUUUAUUGUAUUUGCGGUGCAGGCAUCACAAUCUAAUUUUGGAGCAUUUCCACCGUUCCGAAAGGAAACCUCGUGCCCAGUAGCGAUCCCUCCCCGCAGCCACUGAUUUACUUUCUGUCUCUACAAGUUUGUUCUGGACGCUUCCUGGAAAUGGAACAAUACAGUACUCCGCCUUUUGCCUCCGGCUUUUUCCCCUCCUACCAUCAUGUUUUUGAUAUUCGUCCAGUUUGGGGUUUGGUGAACAGGACUGCCACGUACAAGUCUUUGUGCGCAGGGAAAAAACCCAGUCUUCAGAGCCAUAGACCUGACGUCCCUCAGUAUCGUUUAUAAUCAGCCUUUUCCGUCCGUCAAAUGCGAAAGUAACAGCCCAGAAUACCGCAUUCGUGGGAACGCGCCAGGGAAGUGCGAACGGAUGGACACGGCGGCUGCUCUUCACAGCCUCUGGUCUCCCCUGGCCCUGCGGCACCCGGCUGGAGCUCUGGAGCUCGGAAUCACCCCAGCGUCUCCCUCAAGUGCUGUAACCAUUAGCAGCUGAGUGGAGCGCUCGGGACCCGAGUCUGGCAGGAGGAAGCGGGCAUCGCGGCUUAUGCAGGGUUCUGCUACUUCUGUUGGAGUCUGGGCUUGGCGAGUGGGACGCUGAGACCCGUGCGUGGCAGGUCCUGGAGCGGCGGUGACUUCGCGGCCUCCGCGGAAGCGUGCGGAGAAUGGAGCCUUGGAGGGGCAGGGAUCCCUUGGAUGUCGGAGAAGAGAGACGGAGGUGUGCGUCGCCCAACUUCCCCUGAAACCUUGAGGUGUUCUUCUGUCCACCGCCGCUCGUCCUUGCCCCCCCCCCCCCCUUAUGACUUAGCAGCCUGCGGUCACCUGAUGUCACCAGGGCCGAAAGACACUUUAGAAACGCGGACGUGCCGGUGAGGAGGCUCAUCGGCUCCCCCCCGUCUGCCUUGGACAUGGCCAGUUUGGGCCCAGAAAGUUCUGUGCCUCGCACGCUUCCCCUUCCCGCCCCACGUGCCCCUGGGUGGGGGUCACCCUGCCUGCUGCUCUGGAUGGAGGGGGCUCGCCAGGGUGUAAGCGCCUGCCCCCCGGUCCCAGGAAGGGGGUGGGUUUCAGCCAAAAAGCUGCACCGUAUGAUUUUGAAACGAACCGGUUCGGUCAGUUGGCUGUGCGCUUGGAGACUAGAACACGAACAGCGGAGUCUGACCCCAGGAAUCGUACUGUCCGGGGAGGCGGGCGACAGCCUGAAAAUCUCGGAGCGCCAUCCCUGCCUGAAAUGGUGCAUCGCGAGGACAGACGGUGGAAAACGAAGCGUAAUUUUCCGACUUAAGCUGCCCCUGGCCUUUUGUGGGGUGUUUGUGUUUGUACAUUCUGCAGAAUAACGAGCCUGAGACGCAGCGCGCUUAAAGAUGGUGACCUAGCUCUCGCACUGCAGCUUAGUCCGGGACGACAGAGGAGAGCUGCUAACCUCUGGGGGCCCGCCGCAGGCCACGCAUCUCUCAGGGGUUUGCCGGCCUGCGCGCCUCCUUGCCAAGCAGUGAGAGUCCCGCUGCCUGCUCGGUUGUACUUGACUCCUUCUGCGCCACCCGCUCUGUUUUAAUUAUCAGGAAUGCUCCGGGAAGUCGGCUGAAUGCUGCAACAGCGUGGUUCUGUCACGUUCUUAGAACAACCCUGGGCGGCGGGUGGCGACUCCCUCUUGGGGACGAAGAAGCUGGAGGUUGGAUCCCUCGGCCAACAAUUGAAUGCACGUCCCCCGUCGCCGCCAGGCACCAAACCACGUGACCGAUGAGCUAUGUAAGUAACCUGUCAUAGCAAAGGGUGGGCCUAUCAAGUUAUGUGACCGAGAAGACAACUGGUAUUGGAGCGCUGAGUGGGUCACAAUUAAUGACUUCGUAACCCGUGAAAUCCUAGUCGGUCACAGGGUCACAGGGGCGGGCCGGGGGAUUCUUGACGCCUGAUGGGGCACUGGGGCUGUCCCCUCCGUUCCUGGCGGGCUGGUACCACCUGUCACUUGAAAUGAAAUGGGACAGGAGCUCCUGUGGCGUCUGGGCAGGGGCUCUGCUGCCUCCCCCCAGUGCUCCUUAUCCCCUGUGCCCAUGCUCCGCGUCCCCUCUCUCAGUGCUCCUCGUCCCCUGUCCCCAGUGCUCCAUUAACUGGGGUUUCCCGGCCUUGCCGUCCCACAUGGUGGGACCUGUGGUCCUUGUGGCCUCACAGGAGGGCAGUAGCCUCCCCCACAGUGCUUUCUGUCAACUUACAAACUCAGUGCAGCCCCAGAGAGGAGGAAACGCUUGAGCUAAAGAAGUAGGAUUUUAUAACUAAAAAAACUUUUUUUUUAAAUUUACUUCCACAUCCACCAUGGGUCUCGAACUCACAACCCUGAAGUCAAGAGUCACACGCUCCUCCGACUGAGCCAGCUGGGCGCCCUGAAGAAGUAAGAUUUUAAGGAGAAGUUUCUGGGGCUUUUUUUUGAUGGUUUUUUUGUUUUUUUGUUUUUUUUUUGAGAGAGAGAGAGAGACAGAGUAUGAGCAGGGGACGGGCAGAGAGAGGGAGACACAGAACCGAAGCAGGCUCCAGGC